rnacentral:lncRNA from 1 species
AAGAAGCGCUUAUUUUUACAUUUACCAAACGCAUUUUACACUCCAACUUUUUUUCAUAGCUUUUUUUUUUUUUUUUAUAAUUUCAGCUGUGCCAAACUGGUACUUAUACAUGCAUCGAAAUAAUAUCAGUCUCAACUUUCAUUUUAAGAUGGGAUAGUUAGAGCUGGAUUGCAUGCGUACGUUCAAAAAGGAAAUUACUUUCGUUAACCUCAUCUUCUCAACUAUUUGAUUAAAUUGGACCUCAGUGCUGAUUUCAUGAUUUCCCAGCAAUUGGUGAGUUUUACAUGGCCAUAUUACUAUAUAAUUUCAGCUAUUACGACCAAGAUGUUAUAAACAUUCCUUUGCAAAUAUCAUGUUUGACACAAAAACAAAAUACUUGAUCAACCAAAAAUCAAAUUCAAUAUUCCUCAUGCGAUGUAGUUGUUAUGUGUGAUAGAAUAUAAGGUUGAGAUGUUGCCAUCUGUCGUAAAACUAGUGUAUGUUGUAUGUUGAAAAGAAUGUCUCUGUUGUAAAAGGAUGUGCUAGUUCGUUGGCAACAGAAUCUGUCAUCUUCACAAAGAAAUCAUGCACGAAGGUCAUCAUCAAGUCGAUUGAAACCCUUAACUUCUGCACUAAGAUGUCCAUGGCGAAGCCAAGUUGGAUAAGAAAUAGAAAACAAUCGAGAACUUCCAUUUCUCUUAUUACUUUCUCCCACUAAAUUUUCUUACCUUGAUCAAUCUAUGCUUGUUAUCAAUAUGCUUGAACUAAAGUUAUUUCAUUCACAAUCUCAUCUUUCUUUUGUAAUGUUGUCACUAAUUAUUUGUGACCCCCAAUUAAUAUAGAACACCGUAACAUAAUGUGAGUUCCAAUCAUGUAUCACUUGAAUUUGUUUAGCACUUGUGCUCCUGCCGCUAUGAUCAUCGUAAUGAAUACUAAUCUUUCCGAAAGAGAAGAGGUAACGCAUGCUACAACGAACAUAAUAGCCCGCUGAGGAACCCUAACUAGUCAUGACUCAAGAUUGGAAGGUAACAACUGAAUGUCCAUCGACCAAACUAUAUUAUAGAAAACCAUCUCUCCUUCUUUUUUUUCCUCCUGAAGCGUGUAUUUUUCUUAAAUUCAAAAUGUCUUUAAUUCUUUGGAUCUAUGCCUUUGAAGUUUGAACAAUCCAUAAACUAGUGUUGUCGUGCCUCAGCCCACAUUGUACCGAAAAGCAUAGAGCCCACACAAAACCCAAUAAUUAAGUCUUCGGAUGAAAGGCCUAAUUCUUCAGUAAAGGUCCAAUAAGUGGUCUAAUUAUCAUAAAGCAAAUAUCCUUUCCACCCACAGCUGCUAGUUUUAUGCAUAUAAGCCUAGAGGGUACAAUGGAUUAUGAAUGGCACCUCGACUUACAUAUAACGGUAACGCCAGAGUGACGGCAACUUUUGUUGCUUUGUUCUUCAAGUUAAACUAACGUCGUAGUAAAGUCAGCAAUUAAGCGUUUUUUCCGAAGGAAACUUCAACCAAGGGAUUACAUAUAAUACAGGUCCCAAAGGCAGUUUAGCUUAUAGUACUU